CUACAGAAGUCAUUGGCACUUAUCCUCUUCGAUUACUGUCAGGGUUUAGAUUAGAUUUGAAAGACUAUUAUUUUGUUCCUGCAGCUGGUCAAAAUUUGAUUUUCGUGUUUGUGCUAGCACAGGAUAGUUUUGAUUUUAAUUUCAAUAAAGACUUUUAUUCUAUUUAUUUAUAAAAUAAAUUGAUUACAUGUGACUUUUUAAUUGACAAUCUUUAUCACUUGCGUAUUGAUGCGAAUGUGAAUUUAAACGAACAAGUAGUGAGUAUCGU
rnacentral:lncRNA from 1 species